AGAGCAUUCGCGGCAAAAUGAACGCGAUGAGAUCCUGCUUCCUACCGGUCAUCGUGGGGUUCGUGUUCUUGACUCUUGUUCAGCUCGGCCAUGGACAGGCUGUGGCUCCGUCGCCCGCGCCGGAAGCUCCUUCCAACAAUGGGGAGGCGAUUGAUCAAGGUAUCGCGUACAUCCUCCUGUUACUUGCCCUUGCGAUGACGUAUCUCUUGCACUAGCUCCUCUUACGUGCGGCGGCGAUUCGGUCGAUCCCAACUGUCCGAGCCGAUUCUUUGGUUGAUUUUCUUCCCUGUGAUGGACCUCCAUUAGGUUGAAUUCGCAGCGGCGUUGUGACCGAUUUUUGGGUGCUCUGGAUGUCCUUGUACCUAAAGUUAUGUCUCUGAGAAAUUAAAUUAUCAAGCCAAUUUUUGCUAA